ACGAGCGAGAGAGAGCUUGCUUUCUCGAGCGAGUGGCGAACGGGUGAGUAACGCGUGAGGAACCUGCCUCAAAGAGGGGGACAACAGUUGGAAACGACUGCUAAUACCGCAUAAGCCCACGACCCGGCAUCGGGUAGAGGGAAAAGGAGCAAUCCGCUUUGAGAUGGCCUCGCGUCCGAUUAGCUAGUUGGUGAGGUAACGGCCCACCAAGGCGACGAUCGGUAGCCGGACUGAGAGGUUGAACGGCCACAUUGGGACUGAGACACGGCCCAGACUCCUACGGGAGGCAGCAGUGGGGAAUAUUGCACAAUGGGGGAAACCCUGAUGCAGCGACGCCGCGUGGAGGAAGAAGGUCUUCGGAUUGUAAACUCCUGUUGUUGAGGAAGAUAAUGACGGUACUCAACAAGGAAGUGACGGCUAACUACGUGCCAGCAGCCGCGAUAAAACGUAGGUCACAAGCGUUGUCCGGAAUUACUGGGUGUAAAGGGAGCGCAGGCGGGAAGACAAGUUGGAAGUGAAAUCCAUGGGCUCAACCCAUGAACUGCUUUCAAAACUGUUUUUCUUGAGUAGUGCAGAGGUAGGCGGAAUUCCCGGUGUAGCGGUGGAAUGCGUAGAUAUCGGGAGGAACACCAGUGGCGAAGGCGGCCUACUGGGCACCAACUGACGCUGAGGCUCGAAAGUGUGG
rnacentral:rRNA from 1 species